GACGAACGCUGGCGGCGUGCCUAAUACAUGCAAGUUGAGCGAUGAAGCUUGGUGCUUGCACCAAUUUGAAGAGCAGCGAACGGGUGAGUAACGCGUGGGGAAUCUGCCUUUGAGCGGGGGACAACAUUUGGAAACGAAUGCUAAUACCGCAUAACAACUUUAACCAUAAGUUUUAAGUUUGAAAGAUGCAAUUGCAUCACUCAAAGAUGAUCCCGCGUUGUAUUAGCUAGUUGGUGAGGUAAAGGCUCACCAAGGCGAUGAUACAUAGCCGACCUGAGAGGGUGAUCGGCCAAAUUGGGACUGGGACACGGCCCAAACUCCUACGGGAGGGAGCAGUAGGGAAACUUCGGCAAUGGACGAAAGUCUGACCGAGCAACGCCGCGUGAGUGAAGAAGGUUGUCGGAUCGUAAAACUCUGUUGGUAGGGAAGAACGUUGGUGAGAGUGGAAAGCUCAUCAAGUGACGGUAACUACCCAGAAAGGGACGGCUAACUACGUG
rnacentral:rRNA from 1 species